UGUGAGAUCGCAUGAUUUCAAGAUUGUCGGAUUGUUGGACAUGUCAAACUGGGUGAGAUAAUUCAGUCCUUAAUCACUCCUGUGAGAUUAGGAAAGAUGGUUAUGCCAAAUUCUAUCUAUUUAGAUAGACAGUUGUCAUGCGUGUUGAAGAGAUAAGUCGACUGUGCAGCUCAUAUACAGGUUAGACCUCAACGACGUCUCAACUCGACAUGGAGAUGGAUUUCUCUGCUCAUACGGUGG
rnacentral:lncRNA from 1 species